rnacentral:sRNA from 1 species
GCUGGGUGCGAUGGUACUUGCCUGUAAUCCCAGUGGCCUGGGAGGCUGAGGUAGGAGGAUCACAAGUUCAAAGCCAGCCUUGGCAAUGAUGAGGCGCUAAGCAACUCAGUGAGACCCUGUCUCUA